GCGAGUGGAAAAUAUGACUUUCCCCAGCGUCGAAUCGGAAGAGAACCUUACUGUCCGACGCCGGUGUAUGUCCUUUGGCGAAACGGCAUCGGCCUUCUCUGGUUGCUCGUAUUCUGCGACCAAGGUGGCCGAAUACUUCCGGUGCUUCUACAACGGCUUCAAUGAAGAUGUAACCGUCUGGUUCCCUUAUCGGAGAGAUGACUCAAUCUUCGAACUCCCUCCUUGUUUUGAC
rnacentral:lncRNA from 1 species